rnacentral:rRNA from 1 species
UUGCUGGCGACCGGCGCACGGGUGAGUAACACGUAUCCAACCUGCCCUUUACUCGGGGAUAGCCUUUCGAAAGAAAGAUUAAUACCCGAUAGCAUAAUGAUUCCGCAUGGUUUCAUUAUUAAAGGAUUCCGGUAAAGGAUGGGGAUGCGUUCCAUUAGGUUGUUGGUGGGGUAACGGCCCACCAAGCCUUCGAUGGAUAGGGGUUCUGAGAGGAAGGUCCCCCACAUUGGAACUGAGACACGGUCCAA